rnacentral:rRNA from 1 species
AACGAACGCUGGCGGCAUGCCUAACACAUGCAAGUCGAACGCGUGUAGCGAUACACGAGUGGCGGACGGGUGAGUAACGCGUGGGAACCUGCCCAAUGGUAGGGAAGUAACUGCGGGAAACUGCAGCUAAUACCCUAUGCUCCCUACGGGGGAAAGAUUCAUCGCCAUUGGAGGGGCCCGCGUCGGAUUAGCUAGUUGGCGGGGUAAUGGCCCACCAAGGCUACGAUCCGUAGCUGGCUGAGAGGAUGAUCAGCCACACUGGGACUGAGAUACGGCCCAGACUCCUACGGGAGGCAGCAGUGGGGAAUAUUGGACAAGUGGGGGAAACCCUGAUCCAGCAAUGCCGCGUGAGUGAAGAAGGCCUUAGGGUUGUAAAGCUC